AGAGUUUGAUCAUGGCUCAGGAUGAACGCUAGCUACAGGCUUAACACAUGCAAGUCGAGGGGAAACGAUAGAGAAAGCUUGCUUUUUCUAGGCGUCGACCGGCGCACGGGUGAGUAACGCGUAUCCAACCUGCCCACCACUUGGGGAUAACCUUGCGAAAGUAAGACUAAUACCCAAUGACGUCUCUAGAAGACAUCUGAAAGGGAUUAAAGAUUUAUCGGUGAUGGAUGGGGAUGCGUCUGAUUAGCUUGUUGGCGGGGUAACGGCCCACCAAGGCAACGAUCAGUAGGGGUUCUGAGAGGAAGGUCCCCCACAUUGGAACUGAGACACGGUCCAAACUCCUACGGGAGGCAGCAGUGAGGAAUAUUGGUCAAUGGGCGAGAGCCUGAACCAGCCAAGUAGCGUGCAGGAUGACGGCCCUAUGGGUUGUAAACUGCUUUUAUAAGGGAAUAAAGUGAGCCUCGUGAGGCUUUUUGCAUGUACCUUAUGAAUAAGGACCGGCUAAUUCCGUGCCAGCAGCCGCGGUAAUACGGAAGGUCCUGGCGUUAUCCGGAUUUAUUGGGUUUAAAGGGAGCGUAGGCCGGAGAUUAAGCGUGUUGUGAAAUGUAGAUGCUCAACGUCUGCACUGCAGCGCGAACUGGUUUCCUUGAGUACGCACAAAGUGGGCGGAAUUCGUGGUGUAGCGGUGAAAUGCUUAGAUAUCACGAAGAACUCCGAUUGCGAAGGCAGCUCACUGGAGCGCAACUGACGCUGAAGCUCGAAAGUGCGGGUAUCGAACAGGAUUAGAUACCCUGGUAGUCCGCACGGUAAACGAUGGAUGCCCGCUGUUGGUCUGAAUAGGUCAGCGGCCAAGCGAAAGCAUUAAGCA
rnacentral:rRNA from 1 species